rnacentral:rRNA from 1 species
CAGCACCUCAAGUGGUCAGGAGGAUUAUUGGGCCUAAAGCAUCCGUAGCCGGCUCUGUAAGUUUUCGGUUAAAUCCAUGUGCUCAACGCAUGGGCUGCUGAAAAUACUGCAUAGCUAGGGAGUGGGAGAGGUAGACGGUACUCGGUAGGAAGGGGUAAAAUCCUUUGAUCUAUCGAUGACCACCUGUUGCGAAGGCGGUCUACCAGAACACGUUCGACGGUGUAGGAUGAAAGCUGGGAGCAAACCGGAUUAGAUACCCGGGUAGUCCAGCUGUAAACGA